rnacentral:lncRNA from 1 species
UUGCUCCAGACAACAUGAUUUAGCACAGAACAGUUUCAUGAGAUUUUUUAGAGUUACAGAACAAAAGAAAAAUCACAAGGCUUCUUGUUUUUCAAGUCAGUGAUGGAGACACCAGGAACGCAGGACAGGAAUCCAAAGCGGAGACAGGUGCAGACUUUGCUGCAAUGGUGGGAAGUCACAAAAAAACCCCAUUGGUCUCAGGGUGAAGAGUUGGAAGAGAAGAUACAAGACAAUUUCCUUUGAUGUUAAAGUUUUCCGAAGUGACUGCCUCACUCUUCCCAGUCCCGAGAAGCACCAUGGUUUGUCCUGCACGGAGACUCCAGGUCAGAGGCCUCUCAGAAGCUUUCUCAGAGCAGCACAGUGGAGGCAAGAUU